AGUAGGCAAAACCAAGAACAGCUGCUUUCCCUGUGUGGAGUGUCAGGUUACCUGUGUUAGGACUUGCUUCAGUUUUCUGUCCCUUCUGUCACCCGCCAUGAUUUUUGCACCCAGACAAGUUCUCCCUCCACUGAUAAGUCAUGCGGAACAGUGGCCUAGAGGGAGGCCUCACUGACCUUAAUUCUGUGGUUUCGGUUCAUUCUUUCAUUACAUCAUUGCAGGACAGUAUUUUUUUUUUUUUAAAGACCUCAUGCUGGCAAACAGGGCUUGACUUACUAGAACAUAACAACUUUUUGGAGUCUCUGGGUCUGUGAUGUAAAUUGCAGUUUGUUUUUAAGAGGCUUUCGUAACCCACUAUGUAAAUACACUUAUUUGCAUUAUUUCCAAAACACUUGAUUUGAAGCCACAGUCCUUCCAGCCUUACCUUCCAUGUGGUGUGACACUAAGGAUCUCCAGGCUUGAAUUCCAGCAUGCCACUUUGUCAUCUUCAAACUUAGGGAGAGCUGGAACAACCUGGCCACCUGCUUCGGAGGAAAGAGGGUCCCUGGCUCUCGGUUCUCACACACUUGACCUUUGUUGAGUUAAACUGCAGGGAACCCAGGUGAGCUGAACUUCUCGGGCUUUAGACUCAGUUUCCUAGGGGCUUCCAUCUAUUGGCCGCUUCUCUCAUGCUCUCCUAUGUUGGACAGCCCUCCUCCACCUGCUCCAUUCUGACUUUCUGCUGGGGCCACAGGUGAGCGUCAGCAAAGUCAACACUUUGUGGUGAUGCUGGGCUCCCACGCCGGAUCACAGCUUCUGGGGCUGUUGAUCUAUCUACCUACCUACCCUUGGUUCAGGCUGUGGGGCUGGCUGCUGGACCAUUUGGAUUUUGCUUGACUUGGACUCCAUUUUAAGGGAGGAGUUGGAGAUGCCCCAGGACAGAUAAAACCAAAGAGAAGAAACACUUGAAUCCCUUUUGAGCAAGCCCUCUGCCAGGUGUGCCAACUUGCUUUAUAUAUUUCUUCAUACAUACACGCAUGUAUGCACACACACACACACACACACACACACACACACACACACACUGGGGAUUGAACCAAGGGAUUCAUGCACACACGCUAGGCAAGCAUUCUACCUACCACUGAAUGGCAUCCCAAACCUCUAUUUAUUGAUUGAUUGGUUGGUUGAUUGAUCUGGAUUGGUCUCACUGGUCUGGAAUGCACUGUGUAGCCCAGAGAGACCUUGAAUUUCUGAUCUUCUUGUCUCAGCCUCCCAAGAAGUUGGGAUUACAGGCUCUCUCCACCGGGUUCAGUGUAAUUAUUCCUCUAUGUAGCCUUUGAUUGCUCCCUCUGUGAUUAUAAUUCAUUUUACCAACCACUUCUCCCCGUUUUUUCAUCAUUUAAAGCUUAAAUAGAGACAAUAAAGGGAAAGAAUUUUAAAGAAGGGGGGAGGGUCAGAUACCAUUCGUGCCCCAGGGAGCUCUGCCUCCCUCUGUCUUGCCUGUCAGUCAAGUUCUUGAUCCAGCGCCAAAGGAACCUCUUAACCUUGAAGACAGUUUUCUGGGAGAGGAUUUAAUCUCACACCUAACAUCAUUAUUCUUGGCAGCCCUGUCUCUCCAUAGAGGUUAAAAUUCCCUCUUGGGAGGUGAGACCUCAGCCCCAGAGAUGGCUCAGAAAGGCCUGUGGUUGCCGUCUUAUGAUUGGCAGAAGAGCCAGCUCACCAGUUAUAAUUCCUGUUUUCUCAUUUGCAUAACUUUCUCACGCCGAGGUGAUUGAGGGGAAUGCUGGGUAGUCGUUCUCCUUCCAUCUUUCCAGUCUGACUUCAUAGCUCGAACAGACUGGAGCACGCUCUGCUUCCAUUUUGGUUAUCAUCGUGAAGCGUGCUUUAAAUGUCUUCUCUUCGGGAAUGCUCGUCGUACAUAGACAUCGGUGCGCCCUGCCCCAAAGGCAUCCCAAUAGCUGUGACAACAGAAUGUGAAUAUUUAUAUAACAGGAAGGGGACAAUUCGGGAGGUGAGGAGGUGCUUCCAUAAGAGCACAGCUUCCACAAACUUAAAGGUCUGAGUUCAGCUCCCUGGCAUCCAUAUAAAACCUGGGAGAGGCUGUGAGUGCCCAUAACCUCGGCACUGACAGAUGUAGAGACAGUUCCUAGGAGCUUGCAGGCUAGCAGCCUUGCCAAAAAACUUAAAAAGCCUGCAACUACACUCUACAACCUGCAGAUGAGCAAACUCACCAGUUAAAAUUCCCAUUUGCAUAAUAUUCUCAGAGCCCAAUGCUCUGAGGUUUACUGAGAGACCCUGUCUGUGGGUGAUAAGGUAGAGAGUGAGAGGGCGAUUCUCCUCUUCCCUGGCGGACGGUCUCCUCAGUCAGGCAUACACCUGCAUAUGCUAGUCACCAAAGGUAGGUAGGUAGAUAGAUAGAUAGAUAGAUAGAUAGAUAGAUAGAUAGAUCGAACUUUAAGAAAACUGUUGUGAUUUAGGUCGUAAAGCAUGGCAGAAAACAAAUUCCUCAAAACCAGGUGGAAAAGGUUCUAGAACUUUUAUUUAUUCAUAAACAGCAAAAAGCAAAUAAAUGGUAAAACGGGCCCGCACUCGUUCAUUCACACACUCACACACACACACACACACACACACACACACACUCUCUCUCACUAACCUUUCAGCCUGGCAGGCAUAGCCUUAGCUCCUGGCAGCACGGCAGCACACAGGUAAAAUGCGACUCGGUGUUCCUGGCUUCGGAUCCUCUGGAGCUGAGCUGCGCAGUACAGGCUUCACUGUCUACGCACCGAUGUUCGAGUGAGCAUCCAAGUGGGGUCCACGCAGAUUAUUUCUCAACUCGAAGUUUCUCUGCCGGGCCCUCGGGAGUGGGCCUUCCUGGGAUGUCACAGAAACUCAGUCGCUUGCACAUUCUAUGGCUGUGGAUUCUCACUCUCUUACCUCCUGAGAAUCACAUCUACUACAGGAGAUUGCUGCCUGUGCUGACUAAAUGUGCCAAAGCAUGUUUAUCCACACACGGGGGUAAGGACAUCUGGGUGGUGUCUACAUUUUUGGCAGCUACGAACAGAGAAGCUCCAAGCACCCAUAUUCAGGUUUAUGUGUGAGUCUACAUCUUCCUUUGUGCACACAUUUAGGAGCGGCUCCCACCCCUAACUAUGUGACUGUUGGCCCGUAAUAAGUGAAUGUUUGGUUUCAUGUUUCAAGAAAAACACGUCGCCAAGCUAUUUUCCAAAGUCAUUGUCCUGUUUUGUGUCCGCAACAGCAGUGUGUGAGAGUUCCAGCCUCUCUGGAAAUACUCGCCAACGCUUGGCAUUGUCUUUUCGAGAGUGUUUAGCCAUUUUAGUCUGCGUCGAGCUGAAUCUCACUGUUGCUUUUUCUUGCAUAAUAUUGAGCAUAUUUUUAUUGAACUGGUAAGUUUUUAACCCUGUCUCAACUGUAUAGAGCCAGGUCUCCGGUGCUCUCCAGGGGACGUGUGCCAUGCCUAGAGGCUUCUUGGUGUCUCAGUUGGGUGUGUUCUUCUACUAGCUUCUAGGGGUCGGAGGUCAUGGAUGGUUCUAUCCACCUCAUAGAGUGAAGAACAGACCUGCCCCACCCCCGAAAUGGAAUUACCUGCCUCAACACCUCUACGAUACUUACUCAUCAAGGUGCUAGAGUGUUAUCAGAAAAAUUGAAAGCAGAGGCCAGCGUGACGGUCGCAGAGGCUCCGUGUGAUAUAUACCAUUUGUGUGGAAUAAAGAAAGUGGGCCUAGGUUCCGACUCAGCCCUGAGAACACACACGCAAGUAACACUAUACAGGUGGGCAUAGCUACAGGUGGAUAAACACAGAACACUGCGUGCAGCAAGGCUCGAAGAACAGUAGUGCAGAUCUGUUCUCUGCUCACUCACUGGAUCAGUGAAGAAAUCAAGGCAGAAAGGCGAGAGCCAGUAAAGGCGGAUGCAGAGCUCUGGAGUGACCGAGACCCACACAGGAUGCAUCAGCAAGGGUGUGGCCCUGCUUACCUAGGGUCCAAUUGACUCAUCCAGACUAUCUUGCUUGCCCCUCUGUGAGCUGAGCCUCGCUGGCUGAGUUCUCACACCUCUCAUGAUUGUCACUGGGUGGAACCUGCUACAUAGCAUCACGGUCAGGCCAGUGCUUCUUUAAUUAGCAUUUCAAGUUCACUGAGGUAUGGCUCAUGGGACUGCUCAUCUCCUCCCCACCACAGCCACAGUUCUGGCAGCCCUGGUCACCAGAAGGUGGCCAGGUGAGAUUACCUUUGCCAUUCUGUGGCCAGCUGCAAACCAGCGACCUGGAGAGAAGUCGCCUAUCCACAAGCAGCCCUGGGGAUCCGUCUCUCCAUGCAAAGCAUUUCAAGGCACAGAGGGAACUGUCAUGGCUCUCUUACUGAAGCUGGGCAUUACUGACCCACCUAGACUGCUGGUCAAAAGCUCCUUGAGGACCUUUACGUCCCCAGCUCGGAGUCUUCAGUUGGGAGCUAUUACCUCUUCAAAGUGAUGUGUCCCCUGUUUGAAUAGCUUGUAUGCAAGCAAAAGAUUCUGCUGUAAUCUAGCUCUGCCAGGUCAGAGACCCACCAGCUUCCACCGAGGGUCAGAUGGUGGUGAUUGGAGGUGGGGGAAGGGAAGGAGGUGGCAGAACCUUGGGUCCUUGAGCAGGAGAGCCUGAUCAUGUUUACAGAAGUAAGCACACUUUGCCUGAAGCAGUUCUCCUCUGAUCUAGCUCCCACUGCCUUGCUUGUCACCCUGUCUCACAUAGCUCUCCACUCCAGAUGAUGGAGCUAGAGAUGAUGGAGUUGGAGAUGACGGUCUGCUGCUCAUGCUGGAGUGCUCCCAGAUGAUGGAGCUGGAGAUGACGAUCUGCUGCUUAUGCUGAAGUGUUGGAGGAGUCUCAGUGCAUUUGUGCUCCCCAAUUUCCUUGGCCCUUGCUACUCCACAUGCUCUUAUCUCUCUAGCUCUGCUUCCCAGAUUUAAUGGAUUUAGAUAAGGGACUAUCGUUAAAUAUUAUUUGAGAUUGUCCUAGAAAGUUUGAGUACUAAAAGCUUGGAUUCUGUUAUGAUUCUGAGAGAUGGCAAACCCUUUAAGAGGGAGGCCUGGUGUGAGGUGAUUUCAUCAUUGGGGAUGCUGUCCUCUCAUGACCUCAGUUAUCUCUCCCAAGAGCAAACUGGUGUGAAUUCCUCUGGCUUCUCACAGAUGCUCCUAUUGUCACUUGCCACAUGGGAUGUGGACCAAAGAACCUCCCCAGAGCCAAGCACCAGACCUGUGCAUUUGUAGAACAGUGAGUUAAUUUUGAACAGCUAUAUGGUGAACUGAAUGAGUCUCCAAGCCAUGAUCUCACUACUAAAGGCACAUGCUUAACUGUAGGCACUGGCACAGGGAGAGGAAUUCAUUUGUUCCUGAAUCAUAGAAGGGUGAGGUCAAGUGAAGGAACAAGAAAGAUGACGUCUCAGGUGGAGGACACCUACCUACCACUCAGCACUGUCAGCCGAGUUCACGACCUUCACAGCUUCAGUGCAGGCAGAUAACUAACUCUUCCUGGUCUCUGAAGUGAAAACUUUAAGGUUCUUUGGAAAGUCAGCUGUGUUGGAUGGACAAAUGCAUGAAGGAGUAUUUUCCUGAAGUCCACACAAGUGAAAGACUAAGGCAGACUUGUGAAGGAAUGUUUCACUGAAGCAGA